UGCAAUUAUGAAAUCACGUUUUGUGGAAAAUCUUUGUUCUUAUAAUUAUAAUCUGGAAUUUUUAAAUUAGAAUUUUCUGCUUAAUGUAUGACCUAGAAGUACCUCCAGACUUCUGAGCUCAUAUUCCAUUCAUAUCUAAAGUGAAAAUAGGUUUAAGGAUUUUAAUCUGCUCAAAAUGGAUUUCUGUCCGUAUCACAAAACUACAAAACAAUGAAUCACAAUUGGCAGCUUCACCAGGACCAACACCAAAUUCUCAGCCAAAAGCAUCUUGAAGUGGCACCUGCUUGCAUUAUCACAUUUCUAGACAGCAUUAUUACUGCUGAACUUCUUUAAUGAGUAUUAAAAUUACAAAAUGGUUAUGAUUAGGGAGACAGAGGCACCUUUAAAUUCUUUAGAGACAGAAUGCUUGAUUUAUCCUGGUUUGCAAACAUACAUGUUGCAAGUUCAACUUGCUGCCCAUACAGGAGGUUUGGCAAGCAAUACAAAUAGAUAAAACUGAACUAAACAAAAACAAUUACAUCCUCUCUGCUUAUCUGAGGAUGAACAUUUUGCAAGGCUUCAUUUUAUAACAUUUUAUCUGUAAUGCAACAUCAGAAAUAAAAUGGUGGCACAAAACAGAGCUACCAGAUUGAGACCCGUCAGGGACUCUGUAUUCACUGCCCAGAAGUAACACCCUUCUCUCCCCCACUUGGGUAACCUAAGGCACAGAUUCCCGCUUGCUCAUUGCCCCACUUGGAGGUGUGCUUGCUUUCUAUCAACUAAUCCAGGCCACUUCACCCCUUACAAAUCUAAUCCAAUUUCUGCAUUUCAACCAGUUUUGUUUUAAUUUAAGAGCCUUCUUCCCUCCACUGUCCAGCAACCAUAUUUAGGAUCACCUAAUUUUCUCAGAAUCACUUGUUCGCAAAACUGCAUUCAUGAGGCUGAUAAACAAAUUAAGGACAUUAACAAGAGCAAUCUUCAAUAAAAGAAAGGAAGGAGUCUCUGCAAAGCCACUGAGUAUCCCAAAUUAGAGAUAACAGUGGCUUAAGUAAGAGCUUAUUAAAAAUAAGAUAUCAAAACAUAAUGUACAGAUAUUACCGAGGUCCAAAUGCUGUGGUUCUCUCAGGAAAGAGCUGAACGCUAUUUAAAAGCAGUACUUUUAAGCAGUACUAACACACCUUGUCAGCUGGUAACUAUGGAUACUCAAUCAGCACACUGAAAGGAGUCGUUACAAGUGUCUGUUUGAUCUCUUAUUGCUCAGAAAACUGAUAUGUUAACAUGGAUGAAAGCAUCAGUAACGCGCUAAUGAUACCAACGAUUCUAUCACCACCUGAUCCAAUUAUGCAACCUGUUUUAAUGCUAUCUUGCUACUUCACAAAGCCUGCCGAUUGGAAGCACUGCAGCCAAGUAAAACUCAGCAGACAUAACAUGGUCAUACAAGCGGUCAGAGACUUUUGAGGAGAAUUAAAGAAAAAAUUCAAGGUUUCCUUUUGCUUUCUGGCUCCUUCACCUACUGAUAGGUUUCCCCAGCUAGGUGAAUCAGGUGUAUAACGUGGAGGUUUCCUGCCCAGGAGGUAAAUGUUGUGGCCAGAUCCUUUUUCUAAUCUUUGAAAUAUUCAUAGACUGAAACUACCCCCACAGGGACACAGACCUUCUCAUACCCAUCCACACUGUGGUGACUGAUAUACACAGGACUACCCUUUGUAAUGAUCAGAUGUCGUUAUAUCAGAGCCCAGCAAAAGGAGAAAUUCUCCCCAUGUGUCUCUGGCUGCUUAUUUUUCAACAAAUAUGAUGCAAUGAGCACGUUAAAAAAA